GAUGAACGCUGGCGAGAUGCCUUACACAUGCAAGUCGUACGGGGAUUUUUAAUUCAAGUGGCGGACGGGUGAGUAACACGUAAGAAUUUGCCUUUAGGAGGGGGACAACAACUGGAAACGGUUGCUAAUACCCCCAUAUGCUUUCGAGUGAAAUGGAUUUUUCCGCCUAAAGAGAAGCUUGCGGCUGAUUAGCUUGUUGGUGAGGUAAUGGCUCACCAAGGCGACGAUCAGUAUCUGGUUUGAGAGGAUGAUCAGACACACUGGAACUGAGACACGGUCCAGACUCCUACGGGAGGCAGCAGUGGGGAAUUUUCCGCAAUGGGCGAAAGCCUGACGGAGCAAUCUCGC
rnacentral:rRNA from 1 species